GACGAACGCUGGCGGCGUGCUUAACACAUGCAAGUGGAGCGACGAACCGGGCUUCGGCCCGGGGCAAAGCCGCGAACGGGUGAGUAUCACGUGGGUAACCUGCCCCGAUGACCGGGACAACCCGAGGAAACUCGGGCUAAUACCGGAUGUGCUCCUCGCACACCAGUGCAAGGAGGAAAGGAAGCUUCGGCCUCCGCAUCGGGAUGGGCCCGCGGCCCAUUAGCUUGUUGGUGAGGUAAAGGCUCACCAAGGCGACGAUGGGUAGCUGGUCUGAGAGGACGAUCAGCCACACUGGGACUGAGACACGGCCCAGACUCCUACGGGAGGCAGCAGUGGGGAAUCUUGCGCAAUGCGCGAAAGCGUGACGCAGCAACGCCGCGUGAGGGAAGAAGGCCUUCGGGUUGUAAACCUCUUUCAGGAGGGACGAAGGUUCAGGCGCGAAUAGCGGCCUGGACUGACGGUACCUCCAGAAGAAGCCCCGGCUAACUACGUGCCAGCCGCCGCCGUAAGAC
rnacentral:rRNA from 1 species